UGGUUUACUGAUAUCACGGAAAAGAUUAGCAUGGGAAGGAAUUUUCUUUCCUAAUCUGUGGCGUUGGGAAGGUAGUUCAGCCCUGUUUGUUCCUCCUGGAACAAAUCAUCAGGUCCGCUGCCUCUUAACGGUCCUUUGGAACAUAAAAUGGGGAGUCUUGUACAGAUCCAGUGCACAUCGGGCUGGCUGGAUUCUUCCGAGUUGCGUGUGUUUUAUUUUGGUGGUGGUGGUUGUUUAGUUGCCAAAUCGUGUUUGAAUCUUUGCAUCGCAUGGACCGGAGCACACCAGGUUCCCUGUCCCUUGCCAUCUCCUGGGGUUUGCCCACAUUCAUUAGCUUUGCUUUUCCCUUUUCUUUCUUUUUUUAAAAUUUAUUAAUUUAUGGCUACAUUGAGUCUCCGUAGCUGUGCGCGGCUUUCUCUAGUUGCGGCGGGGGUUACUUUCCAUGUUCAUGGGCUUCUCCCUGAGUGGCUCCCCGUGUGGAGUGCAGGCUCUUGUCUGAGGCUCAGUAGCUGCUCUGAGGCCUGUGGGGUCAUCCCGGACCAGGGAUCGAACCUACAUCCUUUGCGCUGGCAGGUGAAUCCCUAGCCAGUGGACCACCAGGGAGGUCGUGGCUUUGCUUUAUCUGUAAGUCCUUGACCUCUGGGGAAACCAGUAAUAUCGACAGAUUGUUCAUCUGCUCCUUUCGGAUACCUGAGAUGGUCCUAUUCUAAAUGUCCAAACUUUAUUAUAUGUAUAUAAUAAUUCAGGCUGCAAAAGAUUUUAUUCCUUGGUGUUUAAGCUAUGUGAAUUUAUUAUCUGUGCAAAGAAAGUUGUUUAUACAGGUUUAAAUUAUAUUUUCUCUUCUAUGUUCUUUUUUUUUUUUUGCCACAACGAACCCCAAAAGUUUAUGCUACCCUCAAGAUAUCCUAUGUUAGCUGUACUCUUAAAAUGUAUUCCAUAUUUUCAUUGUUUUUCAGUGGGGUUCCUAUUUGCCUAUCAAUGUUAUUCUGAAAGAUUUGUGAUUAACAGGACUGUAUGGACACUAUUUUUCUAUAAUAUUAUUAAAUUUAAAAAUAGAUUUAUCUUCAAAAAAAAAUAAAAAAUAAAAGAGGGAUGGUAGAGGCUUGUCUGGGGGAGUUGAGAGUAGACUUACUAGAAUAUAGAACAGAUCCAGUCCACCAUGUGGGGCGUGUCUGGAAGGAGAUGGGUGACUGAUGGGUAAGUUGGGACUGACUGCAGACUUGGGCAACUUGGU
rnacentral:lncRNA from 1 species